rnacentral:rRNA from 1 species
GGGACACGUGAAACCCUGUGGGAAGCAGGAGGGACCACCCUCCAAGGCUAAAUACUACCUAGUGACCGAUAGCGUAUAGUACCGUGAGGGAAAGGUGAAAAGAACCCCGGGAGGGGAGUGAAAUAGAACCUGAAACCCUGCACUUACAAGCUGUGGAAGCACAUUUCUUGUGUGACCGCGUACUUUUUGUAGAACGGGCCAACGAGUUACGUUAAGUAGCAAGGUUAAGCACUUAAGGUGCGGAGCCGUAGCGAAAGCGAGUUUUAACUGAGCGUUCAGUUACUUGACGUAGACCCGAAACCGGGCGACCUACCCAUGAGCAGGAUGAAGCGAAAGUAAAAUUUCGUGGAGGUCCGAACCCACGAGCGUUGAAAAGCUCGGGGAUGACUUGUGGGUAGCGGUGAAAUUCCAAUCGAGCCCGGAGAUAGCUGGUUCUCCCCGAAAUAGCUUUAGGGCUAGCCUCAAGGUGAGAGAUACGGAGGUAGAGCACUGAAUGUCCUAGGGGGUAUUGCACCUACCGAAGACUAUCAAACUCCGAAUGCCGUCAUCUUAUACUUGGGAGUCAGACUGUGGGUGAUAAGAUUCAUAGUCGAAAGGGCAACAGCCCAGAUCGUCAGCUAAGGUCCCUAAAUGUAAGUUAAGUGGUAAAGGAUGUGGGAUUGCACAGACAACCAGGAUGUUGGCUUAGAAGCAGCCACUCAUUCAAAGAGUGCGUAAUAGCUCACUGGUCGAGUGAUCCUGCGCCGAAGAUUUCCGGGGCUAAAACUUACUACCGAAGCUACGGCAUCAGUAAUGAUGGGUAGGGGAG